GUGCACCAGUCGCGAAUCUUCCCCAAUGGGCGCAAGCCUGAGGGAGCGACGCCGCGUGGGGGAUGAAGGUCUUCGGAUCGUAAACCCCUGUUGCCCGGGACGAAGUUCUGACGGUACCGGGUGAGGAAGCUCCGGCUAACUACGUGCCAGCAGCCGCGGUAAUACGUAGGGAGCGAGCGUUGCUCGGAAUUACUGGGCGUAAAGGGUGUGUAGGUGGACAUGCAAGUCCAGGGUGAAAUCCUUCGGCUCAACCGAAGAACUGCUCUGGAAACUGCAUGUCUUGAGUGCAGAAGAAGGGAGCGGAAUUCUCGGUGUAGCGGUGAAAUGCGUGGAUAUCGAGAAGAACACCAGUGGCGAAGGCGGCUCCCUAUUCUGACACUGACACUGAGGCACGAAAGCUAGGGGAGCGAAAGGGAUUAGAUACCCGUGUAGUCCCUGAGACUCAAGGCAC
rnacentral:rRNA from 1 species